rnacentral:rRNA from 1 species
CAGUAGCCACGGGAAUACGGAGGGUGCAAGCGUUAAUCGGAAUUACUGGGCGUAAAGCGCACGCAGGCGGUCUGACAAGUCAGAUGUGAAAUCCCCGGGCUUAACUUAGGAAUUGCAUUCGAUACUGGGAAGCUAGAGUAUGGGAGAGGAUGGUAGAAUUCCAGGUGUAGCGGUGAAAUGCGUAGAGAUCUGGAGGAAUACCGAUGGCGAAGGCAGCCAUCUGGCCUAAUACUGACGCUGAGGUACGAAAGCAUGGGGAGCAAACAGGAUUAGAUACCCCAGUAGUCCCUGUCUCUUAUCC